rnacentral:ncRNA from 1 species
CCCGAAAUCAGAUGAGCUACUUAUGAGCAGUUAAUAAGAGCUCAUCUGUCUAUGUUGCAAAACAGGGGAAUGACUUAUAAGUAGAGGUGAAAAACCUAGGCAGCCUGGUGAUAGUUGG